rnacentral:miRNA from 1 species
UGGCUAAAAAGUUGGUUCGGGUUUUUUUCCCCAUACGAUGUUAUGAAAAAACUCAAGCAAACUUUUUAGCCA